rnacentral:rRNA from 1 species
UACGAAGGGGGCGAGCGUUGUUCGGAUUUACUGGGCGUAAAGGGCGCGUAGGCGGCCUGCUAAGUCGGGACGUGAAAUCCCUCGGCUCAACCCGGGAACUGCGUCCGAUACUGGCAGGCUUGAAUUCGGGAGAGGGAUGCGGAAUUCCAGGUGUAGCGGUGAAAUGCGUAGAUAUCUGGAGGAACACCGGUGGCGAAGGCGGCAUCCUGGACCAACACUGACACUGAUGAGCGAAAGCCAGGGGAGCAAACGGG